GACGAACGCUGGCGGCGUGCUUAACACAUGCAAGUCGAACGAUGAAGCCGGAGCUUGCUCUGGUGAAUUAGUGGCGAACGGGUGAGUAACACGUGAGUAACCUGCCCUUGACUCCGGGAUAACUUCGGGCAACUGUAGCUAAUACCAGAUACGACCCUCAGAGUCAUCCCCUCGGGGUGGAAAGAAUUUCGGUCAAGGAUGGACUCGCGGCCUAUGAGCUAGUUGGUGAGGUAACGGCUAACCAAGGCGACGACGGGUAGCCGGCCUGAGAGGGUGACCGGGCACACUGGGACUGAGACACGGCCGAGACUCCUACGGGAGGCAGCAGUGGGGAAUAUUGCACAAUGGGCGCAAGCCUGAUGCAGCAACGCCGCGUGAGGGAUGACGGCCUUCGGGUUGUAAACCUCUUUUAGCAGGGAAGAAGCGAAAGUGACGGUACCUGCAGAAAAAGCACCGGCUAACUACGUGCCAGCAGCCGCAGUAA
rnacentral:rRNA from 1 species